AACGUCCAGAAAGCGUAAAGAAGACAGGAGCCAGAAAUCUUACCAUCCAGCUGGAGACUUCACUAUCCCUGGGUAGCUGCUGUCUUGUUCAACAGGGUGGAGACAAAAGAGAAGAGGCUAAAACCCUCCUGGAGGGACGCCUCUCCGAGUCUCACCGGCUGAGAAGGGGGCCCCCGGGCUGCGGGCACUGGGAACUGCAGCGAGGACGGCGCCUUCCCUCGUUUUCCUCCUGACCUCCACUCAAGUAUCCGGCCUGGUAGGGUUGUUGGUACCGAGUGCAGCAGGGGCGGGGUAGGUAGAGGAAGUGGAUGGUUCCCGGAGUGUGGUCUUAACAACCUGUGGAUCUCGGUGCUUGUUCGGUUGCCAUCCACAGCCUACCAAAGAAGCCCUUUAGUUCCUAAUCUGUACAGCAUUAGGAAAUGCUCGCCUGAUUCCCAGAUACUAGCAGUUCAAAGUAUAUACCCUAAACAGGACAGCCUGACGCCUGUAGGGACUGAGGGAGUCACCUGCUGGGGUUUGUAUCCUCCAGCCUUCACCUUCUACAGCCAUGCCACUAAUAAUUUCCCAUCCUGGGCACUUUAUAGUUUAGUAUGAGCCCUCCUGGACUUAAUUUUAUUCUUGUCUUGUUAGUCUAAUGCAAAAAGCUGGGAGCAGAAUCGCUAAGAACUGAAGACACUUGUUGAAGGCUCUCUAGUUUGAUGCUAUCCAAAGAGUGGUCUGUAGUGACCCUGCAGUGGCAGUCUGCACACCAUGACUUAUCUGCAAUGGAAUGGACACAGAAAUUGAACACGUAGAAACUUUUAUAGUAGUUUGACAGUAAUUUUAUGCUUGUUAAAUUUAAAUCAUUAAAAAAGUAGCGUUGGAUUCUA